CGCGUAGGUGGUUCGAUAAGCGAGAUGUGAAAGCCCGGGCUUAACCUGGGAACGGCAUUUCGAACUGUCGGGCUAGAGUAUGGUAGAGGGUAGUGGAAUUUCCUGUGUAGCGGUGAAAUGCGUAGAUAUAGGAAGGAACACCAGUGGCGAAGGUGGCUACCUGGACCAAUACUGACACUGAGGUGCGAAAGCGUGGGGAGCAAACA
rnacentral:rRNA from 1 species